GCACUGCAGGGAGAUGAGGGCACACUAUGCUCAAUGCCUGGACCCCGAUGGCCCCGCGGCUCACCUCCAGUGUGGCGGAAUCACGUGGACUAGCACUGCAGGCUGGGGCUGAGUGCUGCAGAGCUUGUUACGGCUUGGAGGGAACCGGACCCUCCACUACCACUGAGGUCAGGGCCACCUGUUUGUCCAGAUAAAAUAUCCUGGCUUCCCAGGCCCAGGCAAUGGUCACACCUGGCCAUCCCAGCAGAGACCGCCUCUGCUGACCCAGCAGCCUCUGCCUUCACAUUUUCAUGGAUGAAUCCGUGUGCAAUGGACUGUCUGACUCCCCACCCCAGCUCCUCAAGCACACAACAGACAGCUUAGGCCACUAACCCUGAAGAUACAGUCCUCAGGGGUUCCAAAAAGGGAGUGUGGCCGGCAGAGAGCAGCUGUCAUGUGAGCCUGGCCCAGGAAAAGACAGCAUUGGCGUGGCAGUGCCUCAGAGGACCGGCAGGGGGCGGCGCUGCUUACCGGCAAUGCCCCAAUGCGCAUGCUCCUGGGUGCCGCUGGGAUUGGAUGACAGCGAGGCUGGGGCGGGGACACGACGGGCGAGGCAGCUGUGCUCCGUUGGAAUCCCGCGCGGCGCGCGAAGGCAGGCGAUGUGUGAGGACAGGUGACUGCAGAGCCCGGGCGGAGAAACUAAUAUUGAAGGAUUUGAAGUGGCACAGAAGACGGGAUUCCCAGGAGGCUUUGCCUUCAUUAAGAAAGUGACAUUGGCGUGAAAGGUGAUUUCCAUGGAGAAACUGAAUCUCGGUCUCAAGAUAAUCAUAAAACCAAAUGUUAUUUCUGUGAUGACAUUUCUUAAACAUCUGGAAUUGAAAGUGAUGCAGUUGCACAGCUCCAGUGACAUUUAUUGUGUGUGACCUGUGAUUGACAGCUUGUUCUAAAAUACAGCUUCUCUCAGCAAUACCUUACGACUGACUGGCGGCCCUGAUCAAGCUGGAAUUUGUCACAUGCUCUUGCUAAAGUUCUGUACAUGACUUCUCAUAGUGAAGACCCCUGCCUUUCCGUGAGAUGGCUCCCUACAGCUGCACUCAUGAUGGCACCUAAACAUCCUGUUUGGAGAAAUGUCUGUUUAGCUAAUUACCAAUUUUAAUUGGAUGAUGAUGAUGGUGAUUUUGCUGUUGAGUUCUGUGAGUUCCUUAAUAUAUUCUGGAAGUUGAUUCUUGUAAGAUGAGUAAU